AUAGAUAGAUAGAUAGAUAGGUAGGUAGGUAGGUAGGUAGGUAGAUAGAUAGAUAGAUAGAUAGAUAGAUAGAUAGAUAUUUAUAAAAAUACUUUAUAAUCACAGAUGUCUACAUUUUAUUCAUUACUCUGCAGAGAAAGCAGAUGGAGGAGCAGGGGAGUGAGAGGAAACAAGAAAGAUGGAUUCCAUUACACAUAAACAUGCUUUAAGCACUGAUAGGAUGAUCCAUUGGGAUUAAUGAGGAAAUCCUGAUGGACACUUAAAAGGUGACCAGUCGGAGAAAAGCGUUACUACACGCUCCACCGCAGAAGCCACACGCAUUCAUAGAGAAACACACACAAACUGGGGUUAUCCUAAAUGUCAAAGGGCAGCCCUCUAAGCACAAACUCAAAGCUUAGUGUCGACCAGCUUUAUAAAUCAAGGAUGAAUAAGUGUGACUGCUUCAGUGGGCCGUGUCUGGAUUUCAGAGUGAAGACUCAUCGCCGCUGUCAUCGCUUGUUGCCGUACAGACUCAGUGGCGGGGUGAGUCACGGUCUCUUCAACCUGACGGGCCCCGGACCAGUAUGCAGUUAGAGUGAUCAGGUAAGCGAACAUUCACCUCACGGCCCUUCCUUCAGUAGUUGUAACGUGACACCGCUCCUGGACCAGAUAUGGGACGUACGUUUAGCUCGCUGAUCCCAGAUCUGCGCGCUUGAGCGGUCCUUAGAUAAGACGUGAAGCAUGCUCACUUACCCGCUGGUCUCAAAUCAUCAGUGUCAGGAUGAGAUUAACUGAUCCCAGAGUCUGAUCCCUAACAGACAGUCCAUUUGAAGUGGCACGUUUUGUGCUGAACGGUUGUAAUCUUCUCCUGCGAUGUGUCUUUAAGCCGAACACCUAAAUGACAUAUAAAAGCCCAAUUUAGAGCAAUUGCUUCUCCAAUUUGCUCUUCUAUUUGGUUCAAGCCUUUACAGUGACAUGUUUCAUAUGUGGCCACCGUGAAUUUUUUUUUUUAAAGGUCUCAAUACAUAUAAAAGAUAUAUGAUAGGUAGAGGAGACUAGAACUAGUAACUAAGAUUUUGAGAUAAAAGGAUAAUUACAUCUGUGUCUUCUCUAGCAGUAGUUUGUAUGUCAGAUGUAUGUCAGUUUCAUCAAAUCUAAUUAUUUUUAUACAUUUUAUUAUCCAAAUUUAUUACAAAAUGACAAUAACAAUAUGACACAGGGCCUACACUACUUAAAAAAAAUAUUAGUACUUUUAUUCAGGACACAUUAAAUUUGGUCAAAAGUGACAGUACAUUUACAAAAUAUUUCACAUAAAUGAAUUUAAAUGAACUUUUCUACUCAUCAAAGAAUCCUGAACAAGUGUAUUACAGUUUCCACAAAUAUUAAGCAGUACAAGACUGAUUUUUUUUUUUUUUAAAUAAGAGAAACAUAAUCGAUCAUCUCAAAAUGUUGAAUGGUAGUGUAUAUUCAGACCACAGUAAGCUAUGAAGUGACAAUAGAUUUAAACUGAGAGAUUGAUGUGUUCUCAGUUCUCAUAUAUGUCAGGACAGGGUAAGUUUGAAAUGUUUUAAAUUGUACAAAUCUUUUCAGUUGGUUAUUUAAAAUAUUUGUAGCCCAGAAUAACUGUUGUAUAUUUUUUAUGUUACCUUGUACAUAUUUUUAAUAUUUCAUGGAUUGAAUUUUCACAUUGUUUUACUGUUUAACUUUGCUUAAAUUUUAUUGUAACAGCUUACUGGUGACAAGCCGAUGACAAGCCUGGGUUUUAAGGAAUACUGAAUGCAUAAACUGACUUUAAAUAAUAAAACCAGCCUGAGAAUAAUCA
ensembl:lncRNA